AACAGCGGCUGUCCUGUCGUCAGGAUAAAGGCACUAACGCUGCCCGAAAUAUAGUUACAGCCAGUCUUCCGCUAAUGAGGCUUUUAUUUUGAAUGUAGUGACCGGAAGCUGUGUCAGUGACUGUCUGGUAUUGACCCUGUUCGGGCCACAGUGGAUUCAGAUCCCAUAGCUUGGCUGACUUCAGGACACUAACGUUAGCUCCCGCUACAUGUAUGUUAAUAAAAACACAGAGGGAACAGUGGAAUUGAACACUCAUGGAUCCCAACCGGAUAAUCCAGGCUCUGAAAGGGACCAUCGACCCGAAUUUGAGGAUCGCAGCGGAGAAUGAGCUUAAUCAGUCCUACAAGAUCAUCAACUUUGCACCGACACUGCUUCAGAUCAUUGUGUCCGAGCAGGUGGAGUUUCCUGUUCGUCAGGCAGCGGCGAUAUACCUGAAGAACAUGGUUAGUCAGUACUGGCAGGACAGGGAGCCGUCUCUGGGUGAGGUUGUCUUUCCCUUCAACAUCCAUGAAAAUGACCGGCAGCAGAUCAGAGACCACAUUGUGGAGGGCAUCAUUCGCUGUCCAGAGUCCAUACGCGCCCAGCUGACCAUGUGUCUGCGAGCCAUAAUCAAGCACGACUUCCCUGGACGCUGGACUGCCAUUGUGGACAAGAUCGGCAUGUACCUGCAGUCUCAGAACAGCGGCAGCUGGUACGGCAGCCUGCUUGCUCUCUACCAGCUGGUCAAAACCUAUGAGUACAGGAAGGCAGAUGAGAGGGAGCCGUUGCUGGCAGCCAUGCAGAUCUUCCUGCCGAGGAUCCAGCAGCUGAUCAGCCAGCUUUUGGCUGAUGCCACCAUCUUCUCUGUCCUCAUCCAGAAACAUAUCCUCAAGAUCUUCCAUGCUCUUGUGCAGUACUCGCUGCCUCUUCAACUGAUCAACAACACAGUAAUGACUCAGUGGAUGGAAAUUCUACGAGACAUUAUGGACCGAGACGUCCCUGCUGAGACGCUGGAGGUAGAUGAGGACGACCGUCCUGAGCUGGCAUGGUGGAAGUGUAAAAAGUGGUCACUGCGCAUCAUCACCAGACUGUUUGAGCGGUAUGGAAGUCCUGGUAAUGUGACAAAGGAAUACUACGAGUUUGCAGACUUUUUCCUGAAAACAUAUGCAGUGGGUAUACAGCAGGUCCUGCUGAAAGUGGUGGAUCAGCACCGACAGAAGCAGUACGUGACUCCUCGUGUCCUGCAGCAGUGCCUCAACUACCUCAACCAGGGCUUGUUGCACUCCCUGACCUGGAAACAGAUGAAACCACACAUACAGACCAUAUGUCAAGAGGUCAUCUUCCCGCUCAUGUGUUACAAAGACGAGGAUGAGAAGCUGUGGCAGGAAGACCCCUAUGAGUACAUCCGCAUGAAGUUCAACCUCUAUGAUGACCACGCCCUCCCAGCCACAGCUGCUCAGAGCCUCCUGUGUAAAGCUUCCCGCAAAAGGAAGGAGGUUCUUCCUCAGAUGAUGGAGUUCUGCCACCAGAUGCUGAUGGACCCCUCUGCUGACCCCCGCAGGAAGGACGGAGCACUGCACUGUAUUGGUGCUCUGGCUGAGCUUCUACUGAGGAAGAGAAUGUACAGAGAGCAGAUGGAGCUGAUGCUGCAGAACUAUGUCUUCCCUUUGCUCAACUCUCCUAUGGGUUACCUGCGAGCCAGAUCAUGCUGGGUGCUCCACUGCUUCAGUCCACUGCGUUUCCAUGAUGAGCUGGUGCUGAGGAACGCUGUCGAGUUGGUCAAACAGGAUCUAAUCGAGGACAAAGAGAUGCCCGUCAAGGUGGAGGCCUCCAUAGCUCUGCAGACGCUGGUCAGCAACCAGGAACAAGCCAAGCUGUACAUCCGGCCGUACAUCCGGCCAGUCAUGCAGGAGCUGCUGCAUGUGGUGAAAGAGACGGAGAAUGAUGAUUUGACCAAUGUCAUUCAGAAGAUGAUCUGUGAGUACAACCAUGAGGUGGCUGCCAUCGCUGUGGACAUGACGCAGAACCUGGCGGAUAUCUUCACCAGGGUCCUGCAGAGUGAGGAGUAUGAGGAGAAUGAGGACAAGACUGUCAUGGCUCUUGGCAUCCUGAGCACCAUCGACACCAUCCUCACUGUCAUGGAGGACCAUAAGGAGAUCACGCAGCAGCUGGAGGGGAUUUGUUUGCAGGUGAUCGGCCUGGUCUUGCAGAAGCCCAUCAUAGGUAUGGCAGAAUUUUAUGAGGAGAUCCUGUCGCUGGCGUUCGGCCUUACCUGUCAGACCAUCUCCCCCCAGAUGUGGCAGCUGCUGGGCGUCCUGUACGAGGUCUUCCAGCACGACUGCUUCGAUUACUUCACAGAUAUGAUGCCUCUUCUGCACAACUACGUUACAGUGGAUACAGACAUGCUCUUGUCCAACCCAAAGCACCUAGAGGUCAUCUACAGCAUGUGCAAAAAGGUGCUGACCAUAGAUGCAGGUGAGGAUGCAGAGUGUCAUGCUGCCAAACUGUUGGAGGUCAUCAUCCUGCAGUGCAGAGGCAGAGGCAUUGACCAGUGCAUACCUCUGUUUGUGGAGGCAGUACUGGAGCGUUUGAUGAGGGGGGUGAAGUCCAGCGAGCUGAGAACCAUGUGUCUGCAGGUGGCCAUCGCUGCUCUGUACUACAACCCAGUCCUGCUCAUCCACACUCUGGACAACAUGCACUUUCCACACAACCCGCAGCCCAUUACUGCCCACUUCAUCAACCAGUGGAUAAAUGACACAGAGUUCUUCCUUGGGCUCCAUGACCGCAAGAUGUGUAUUAUCGGCCUGAGCGUGCUGAUGGAGCUGCCCAGCCGACCGGCAGUCCUCGAGGGAAUUGCCACCCAGAUCAUCCCCUCCAUCCUGCUCCUUUUCCUGGGCCUCAAACACCUCUAUGCCUCCCGUCUCAUCAACAAGCCAGACCUGCUGGCCCGCGCAGGGCCUCAGGAUGAAGACCAGAAUGAGGAGAUUCCAAGUGAUGAAGAUGAGGUGAAUGAGAACAGAAAUGCCAUGCAGCAGCAGACCAGCACGCCGACAGGCCAGGGCGGCGAGGACGAUGAUGAAGAUGAAGAUGACUACUGGGAUGAUGAUGGCUUUGAGGGAACACCCCUGGAAGAGUACAGCACGCCUCUCGACUAUGACAAUGGAGAGGACGAGUAUCAGUUCUUCACCUCAGCCCUGCUCAGAGUCCAGAACACUGAUGCAGUCUGGUACCAGAGUCUGAUGGCUCCACUCAGUGACGACCAGAAGAAACAGCUGCAGGAGAUCUACAGCAUCUCACAGCAGAGGAGGAGCACUGCCGCCAAGGGCCAAUGAAAAUAAAGUUUCCGCAGAGGUUCACCAUCUUCCUAUACAAAACAGAGACAACACUAGGUAAGUAAUAUAUAGUCCUUCUCCCUGAAUCACUAUUUAUUUCAUUUUUAAAAGAUCUACGCUCAUUUUUAAAAGGUCACAACUAUGAUAUUUUUUUGUCUUUUUUUUAAAGUUACCCCCCGAUGAGCUGGAGGGUCUGUACCUUACGCAAUCAGACUACGGUAAUGUUACCAUUUGUUUGUUCUUGUUUUUCUAUUUAACAAUGUCAAUAUUGGAAACGGUAUCAUUCAUUCUCUAACUACCUACAGAUUUAAUGCUGAUCAGCUUAACUGGGUUGGAAAUCCAACCGUUUUCCAUGGGGAGUUAGGAGGCGUUGAAGAGGGAGAGAGUUCACGGGCAAUCCGUUCUGAGAGCCGUCUGAGGGUCAACCGUUUACAGCUUCCAAAACAUCUUAAACCCAGUCUGACGGAUUCAGCCUUCCGAAAAUAUCCAAUGAAGGUCCGACGAGGGAAUCUGCCAACAGUCUGGAUGUAACUGGGGUUCAGUCGUCAACUAUACCGCCUGAGACUCCUGAGAUUCCUGUCACGCAGUCGCAUCUACCCAGCCCAUCAGUGUCCCCUUUGCAAGGACACUGAUCAGAGAGGGGAUACCGAGGAGAAAUCUGAUUCGUCAGUCCAGAAAAGGGCGAAGAGGACCUCCCUACCUAUGUCGGAGAAGCUCAAAAACCCACUCUGUCGAUCCUCAGCGUCUGUGUGCGAGCAAUUGCAGAGUCAUUUUACAGUUGGGUCAGGGUCUUUUAUCUGCUUUUAUGGCUUUGUGUGAGAAGUUAGUAAAGUAAAGUGUGACAUUUCAACAUGGAUAAAGAUUUAAACUUGGGUUUUUGGGAUCUUUGUCAGUCUGACGUAGUUCCAACUGAAUUAGAGAAAUAUGUAGAAGAAUUGAACCGUAUUCCACCCGCUUUUGCAGUAGACGUUAGCAUAGCUAACAUAGCUGAAAAUUCCUCAGAAUCUGAUCCUUUUGCAGAAAUCCAUCAAAUCUGCUAUACGGAAAGUUAUUUCCAACCUAUAGAAGAUGCUGUCAGACUAGUCGAACAAAUACCAUCACCCACCCCCUCCCAGCAGCACGAGUCUGACGCUCAAGCCUCUUUCGCCGCCCUUUGCGCCACUCGCUCCUUCUCCUCACGCCGUGCCGAUAGAGACCAAUAAUGAACCUAUUUCCCCUGCUUCACACGCCACUCAUAUGCGUGUGUGAAUCAAACCCCGCUCAAUAGAGCGGAGGAAAUUGAGGGUGGGAAGCUGAACCGUGCAGAACACUAUCCCGCGACCGUUUCAACAAUCUAGAAAUGAGACAAGUUUUUACAGUACCACCUCCUAGAAACGUGCCUGAUCUAGCUCAAUUUUACCAAGACGUCGUCAAGACCCUCAAGGAUCUGGCCGACAAAGUGAAAUUAAAGGCUAAACGUAAAAGGCGAAAACAUUUAAAAAAAAUCACAUUAAUGUGACCAUCGACGAAGCCGGGGAAGCUAUCCUGCCGGCUUUUGAAGGUUUACUAGAGCGCUUAGUGCAAUCCAACACAAAUAUAGCCUCAGACGUUAGUCUUGAAUUAAUCGUUCAGGUGGUGCGAAACCCCAGAGGGGGUAAGAAAUGAAAAGCAGUCAAAACUUUAGACUGUGAAAUAAUAAAUAGAAAAAAGCAACAUUCUUCGUCAUCAGCUUAGCUCAUCUUAUCGACCCUCAACUCACGAACAGAGAGGCCGAAGAACGAGGAAGAGAGUGGCAACAUCUCGCCGGUCUGAGCGAUCAGACAACCGUGACCUUUAGCGAUGUAGGCAAAUUACAAAAAUAUUGUUUAACGUAAAAUUGUGGUGACGACCGCCCCCUCUCAAUUUGAAACUGACUUUUCUGAUCGAUCUAACCCUGUUUCUAUUUUUAUUCCAAAACCAUUACUCCUGUUGGGUCUGAGCUCUACCUCAUGAGCUGGACACCAAAUAUGUUGGAAUUCGGUUGUUUAUCAAUUUAUUGGCUAUCAUAAAUUAAGAAAAUAUUAAUAUUAAUUAAUAACUUUAAAAUGAAUUAGGUUCACGGGGCACCAGCCUAAAUUAAUAGGCAAAAUAGCCAAUAUGGUUUUAGUCUCAAUUUAUUAUCAUUAAUCUGGAACUCUGAUUAACCAUUAGCUUACUAACUAUAACCAAAUUACCAUAUGUACAGUAAGUUAAAGUUGAAGGAUUGGAAUUCUACCGAGUAAAGGUUGGCAAUAUUCACGCUUGUGCAACAUUAAACACACCAGUAGAUACUUGAAGGCAUUUAUUUACAAUGGAGCAGAGUAAAACACAAUGUCUAAUCUAGUUUAUACAGGUGUGUGUGUGUGUGUGUGUGUGUGUGUGUAGGUGUAUGUGUGUGUGUCUGUGGGGACACAGACAAAGGCAAGAUGGCCGAUUCAAAGUGGUCACUGUGACCACAUGACCUGGUUGAACAGUAUUGCAUUCUCAGGUGUAACUGAUAUCUUUAUGACAUGUAAACAUGAAAUCCAUCAUAUUCUUCAUGAAUGCUACUCAAAUAGACAGGAAAACCUAUCCUGAAGUGUUCUGUGUAGAAAUCCCACUAAAUGUGAAUGCUGAGAUUUUGGAGACACACAGACAGCUUUAACGAGGAAAAGAGCCGAUUUAGGCGCUGGAAACGUGAAAACAGCGCUAUUGAACAGGAUUGCAUUCUCAGGUGUAACUGAUAACUUUAUGACAUGUAAACAUGAAAUCCAUCAUAUUCUUCAUGAAUGCUACUCAAAUAGACAGGAAAACUUAUCCUGAAGUGUUCUGUGUAGAAAUCCCACUUAAUGUGAAUGCUGAGUGUGGAAGCUAUUUGGUGUUAUUUAGUUUAUUGUUUAGAUUUCAUUAUUCUAUUUUGAUUUCAUUAUGAUUAAAUUUCUGUUAGUAUUCUGUUAGUUUAUCAUUUUUGUAGUUUGGGUGUUUUGUUGUUAUUUGUUUGUUUCAUUUGGGCACGGUAGGGAGGCACCGUAGGUUAUAUAGGUAAGCGCACGGUAGGGACCAGCAUGCACCUGGGUGGGCAAAUGGUUUUUUACCGGAGCGGGAGAGGCACAGGAAUUUUUCUUUGUUCUGUGUUUGCUUGUUAUCCGAUUGAAUAAAUCACGU